GGGAUAUAAUUUUAUAUUUUAUACAUUGAUUUGAUCAAUAAAAAGGUAAAUUUAUUUUUCAUCCAAGUAUGAUGUAUCCUUGAAUCAUCCAUGGAAUUAACUUUCGAUAUAUAUUCUCAAAGUGUUGAGAAUUAAAGACAUGUAUUUAAUUCCUAAAUGCUCUCAAUCAUAAGAUCAUCAUGAGGAUGGUGAUCAAUCCAGAUAAAUCGAUGCAC
rnacentral:lncRNA from 1 species